ACGUGGGAAGUUUGGCAGAGCAUG
rnacentral:miRNA from 1 species